UACAGAGGGGGCAAGCGUUGUUCGGAAUUACUGGGCGUAAAGGGCGCGUAGGCGGCGACCCAAGUCAGAUGUGAAAGUCCUGGGCUUAACCUGGGGACUGCAUUUGAUACUGGGUUGCUUGAAUUCGGGAGAGGAUAGCGGAAUUCCCAGUGUAGAGGUGAAAUUCGUAGAUAUUGGGAAGAACACCGGUGGCGAAGGCGGCUAUCUGGACCGACAUUGACGCUGAGGCGCGAAAGCUAGGGGAGCAAACGGG
rnacentral:rRNA from 1 species